CAUGCUCGUCGCUCGAGUUCUCGUUGAUUGACGUGCUUGCACUGAUUUCAACAUUGGAACGAGUGGCGAACUGGUGAGUAACACGUGGAAAACCUGCCCAGAAGCAGGGGAUAACACUUGGAAACAGGUGCUAAUACCGUAUAACAACAAAAACCGCAUGGUUUUUGUUUGAAAGGUGGCUUCGGCUAUCACUUCUGGAUGGUUCCGCGGCGCAUUAGCUUGUUGGUGAGGUAACGGCUCACCAAGGCGAUGAUGCGUAGCCGACCUGAGAGGGUAAUCGGCCACAUUGGGACUGAGACACGGCCCAGACUCCUACGGGAGGCAGCAGUAGGGAAUCUUCCACAAUGGACGCAAGUCUGAUGGAGCAAUGCCGCGUGAGUGAAGAAGGGUUUCGGCUCGUAAAACUCUGUUGUUGAAGAAGAACGGGUGUCAGAGUAACUGUUGACAUCGUGACGGUAUUCAACCAGAAAGCCACGGCUAACUACGUGCCAGCAGCCGCGGUAAUACGUAGGUGGCAAGCGUUGUCCGGAUUUAUUGGGCGUAAAGCGAGCGCAGGCGGUUAUUUAAGUCUGAUGUGAAAGCCUUCGGCUUAACCGAAGAAGUGCAUCGGAAACUGGGUAACUUGAGUGCAGAAGAGGACAGUGGAACUCCAUGUGUAGCGGUGGAAUGCGUAGAUAUAUGGAAGAACACCAGUGGCGAAGGCGGCUGUCUAGUCUGUAACUGACGCUGAGGCUCGAAAGCAUGGGUAGCGAACAGGAUUAGAUACCCUGGUAGUCCAUGCCGUAAACGAUGAGUGCUAGGUGUUGGAGGGUUUCCGCCCUUCAGUGCCGCAGCUAACGCAUUAAGCACUCCGCCUGGGGAGUACGACCGC
rnacentral:rRNA from 2 species